rnacentral:rRNA from 1 species
UACGUAGGGUGCGAGCGUUGUCCGGAAUUAUUGGGCGUAAAGAGCUUGUAGGCGGUUUGUCGCGUCUGCUGUGAAAAUCCGGGGCUCAACCCCGGACUUGCAGUGGGUACGGGCAGACUAGAGUGUGGUAGGGGAGACUGGAAUUCCUGGUGUAGCGGUGAAAUGCGCAGAUAUCAGGAGGAACACCGAUGGCGAAGGCAGGUCUUUGGGCCACUACUGACGCUGAGAAGCGAAAGCAUGGGGAGCGAACAGG